UAAAUCUUAUGUUAUAAUAAACUGGAAAUCUUCCAAAUUUCUAAAAAGGUCCCCUUAGAUUUAU
rnacentral:tRNA from 1 species